rnacentral:rRNA from 1 species
UACGGAGGGAGCUAGCGUUGUCCGGAAUUAUUGGGCGUAAAGAGCUCGUAGGCGGUCUGUUGCGUCGGCUGUGAAAACCCGGGGCUCAACCCCGGGCCUGCAGCCGAUACGGGCAGACUAGAGUUCGGCAGGGGAGACUGGAAUUCCUGGUGUAGCGGUGAAAUGCGCAGAUAUCAGGAGGAACACCGGUGGCGAAGGCGGGUCUCUGGGCCGAUACUGACGCUGAGGAGCGAAAGCGUGGGGAGCAAACAGG